rnacentral:lncRNA from 1 species
GGACUCCAGUCUUGUGACGCACUCCAAGGAUCCUGGAUCCAGAUGACCUGGGAUGGUCAUCAAAACUCAGGCUAGCCAGCCGACCCAUCACGCAGGCGCAGCGAUCGUUGACUUGGCAGCGAACGAAGCAAUUCCAGGCUUGGGCGCCGGUCACAUGGCAUAUAAUAAAUACCGGAAACAAUACUGUACUCAGAGGCUAAGGGAACUUCAGAAACUUCCAGUACUGUCCCUGAACUACUUGCACUGCCUCAUCCUCGUUAGUAUAGUGACGAUAUUCAGGGCUGAGGAGACGACCUGAAUUCAGUUUCCAGAACCUUCAUUGGACGACUUGCAAAUCUAGUUCCAGGGGAAUCCAAUGUUGUGUUUUGAACAUUGUGGGCAACUGCGCUGAUGUCAUAACUCCUCCGAGAUACAUACAUGCAUAAAAAUAAUUAAAAAUAAAAAGGAAGAUCUUUAAAAGC